rnacentral:rRNA from 1 species
CCCUACGGGGUGCAGCAGGCGCGAACACCUUACAAUGCGGGAAACCGCGAUAAGGGAACCCCGAGUGCCAGCAUCAAAUGUUGGCUGUCCAGAUGAUUAAAACUCAUUUGUUAGCAAGGGCCGGGCAAGACCGGUGCCAGCCGCCGCGGUAACACCGGCGGCCCGAGUGGUAACCGUUUUUAUUGGGUCUAAAGGGUCCGUAGCCGGCCUGAAAAGUCCUUUGGGAAAUCUGACAGCUUAACUGUCAGGCUUCUAAGGGAUACUGUCAGGCUUGGGACCGGAAGAGGUAAGGGGUACUCCAGGGGUAGGAGUGAAAUCUUGUAAUCCUUGGGGGACCAUCUGUGGCGAAGGCGCCUUACCAGAACGGGUCCGACGGUGAGGGACGAAAGCUAGGGGAGCAAACCGGAUUAGAUACCCGGGUAGUCCUAGCCGUAAACGAUGCUCGCUAGGCGUCAGGCACGGUGCGUCCGUGUCCGGUGCCGCAGGGAAGCCGUUAAGCGAGCCACCUGGGAAGUACGGUCGCAAGGCUGAAACUUAAAGGAAUUGGCGGGGGAGCAC